rnacentral:lncRNA from 1 species
CUUUUCGAGGUAGGAGUCGACUCCUGUGAGGUAUGGUGCUGGGUGCAGAUGCAGUGUGGCUCUGGAUAGCACCUUAUGGACAGUUGUGUCCCCAAGGAAGGAUGAGAAUAGCUACUGAAGUCCUAAAGAGCAAGCCUAACUCAAGCCAUUGGCACACAGGCAUUAGACAGAAAGCUGGAAGUUGAAAUGGUGGAGUCCAACUUGCCUGGACCAGCUUAAUGGUUCUGCUCCUGGUAACGUUUUUAUCCAUGGAUGACUUGCUUGGGCAGACCUGUUAUCCUAAACUAGGGUUUUUAAUGACCACAACAAGCAAGCAUGCAGCUUACUGCUUGAAAGGGUCUUGCCUCACCCAAGCUAGAGUGCAGUGGCCUUUGAAGCUUACUACAGCCUCAAACUUCUGGGCUCAAGUGAUCCUCAGCCUCCCAGUGGUCUUUGUAGACUGCCUGAUGGAGUCUCAUGGCACAAGAAGAUUAAAACAGUGUCUCCAAUUUUAAUAAAUUUUUGCAAUCCA